rnacentral:rRNA from 1 species
AGUGAACGCUGGCGGUAGGCCUAACACAUGCAAGUCGAACGGCAGCACAGUAAGAGCUUGCUCUUACGGGUGGCGAGUGGCGGACGGGUGAGGAAUACAUCGGAAUCUACUUUCUCGUGGGGGAUAACGUAGGGAAACUUACGCUAAUACCGCAUACGACCUACGGGUGAAAGCAGGGGAUCUUCGGACCUUGCGCGAUUGAAUGAGCCGAUGUCGGAUUAGCUAGUUGGCGGGGUAAAGGCCCACCAAGGCGACGAUCCGUAGCUGGUCUGAGAGAAUGAUCAGCCACACUGGAACUGAGACACGGUCCAGACUCCUACGGGAGGCAGCAGUGGGGAAUAUUGGACAAUGGGCGCAAGCCUGAUCCAGCCAUACCGCGUGGGUGAAGAAGGCCUUCGGGUUGUAAAGCCCUUUUGUUGGGAAAGAAAAGCAGCAGGUUAAUACCCCGCUGUUCUGACGGUACCCAAAGAAUAAGCACCGGCUAACUUCGUG